CCUCGGCCUCCCGAAGUACUGGCAUUAUGGGCAUGAGCCACAGCGCCGAGCCCCGAUUUUUUUUUUAAUGCUAAAAGACUAGAUUAAUAAACUGUGAUCCUUGUUUAUAACAAGUGCUAGAAAUAGGACACAGAAAAUUGGAGUUGAGUUAAUUUCAGAGCUUAACCAGGCAAACAGGUGAAGCCAGUGGUGAUGUGCUUGCUCAAGACAAAAAUAGCCUGGAUGGUGGUGGUGAUGAUAUAAUUUCUAACUGACGAAGGUUCUUUGGAGGGUUGUAAACAAGUGGGAUACAAAGCAACUGCUAAAUGCAAUAUUUUUAACUUUUUAAACUCCUUUGCUAGAGUUCUACAUUUUAAACUAUAAAAAUGAAGUCACUGUGGUACUAAUGUGUUAUCUUUUUGUGGGUAGGCAGUUAACUUAGAGAAAGGAAAUAAAGGGUAAAGAUGUACAGUACUUCUCUAAAGAAGGAACACUUCCUUAGUGAUCAGUGCUGGGGCAGAUUUUAUUUUGUGUUUUUCUAUGAAGGUAAGAUCUCCAGAUUGGCUGGUGGCAGCAGAUUACUUUGGGGAAAGAGCUCUGGAUUGGUUACCAGCCUAAUGUGCAUUCAGGUACCGGUUCCACCUUGCUCCCUGAUUUGGGCAAGCUAUUUCACCUUUCUGAGCCUCUGUGUCCUCUACAUAAGGGGAUGAUACCCCCUACCUCAUAGUUAGGAAGGAAAAGUAGUAUCUCUUGUGUAGAGUGUGGCUUGCCAUACAGCAGGUAUUAGCACACAUUGGUCCAGGAUGCCUUUAAGUAUGGAAAACUGAGAGAGAUGGAGACUCUCCCUAUGGGAGAGAGAGAGAGUGUGUGUGUGUGUGUUUGUUUGAAAAGAAAGGAAUAUGAGAGUUGGAAGUUCCUAAAGGAUGUCAGCCAGGUUUGCUCUUUUUACCAAAAAGGCUUUGAGUACAAAACCAUGCAUCAUUCCACCUUUAUGUAAAACUGUAUGCGCCUCAUCAGGAAUACUCUAUGGACUUCAGAUCAUGCUUUCAAAGGGAUCUCUUAGAAUUGGCCAAGAUCCAGAAAAGGGAACUGAGUCAGACAAAAGAGCAGGACUCUUCAAUGUGGAAAAGCAAAGACUGAAGGAAUCACGGGAUCAGGAGGAGAGGGCCAGACCUUCCUAAUCAGGUGUCCUGGUGAGAGGAGGACUUCUUUAUACGGAUUCGGCUCCCUGAGCGAGAUGGCCAAGACAAAACUGCCCACGUAAUUUUUGUAUUUUCAUGGAAAUACGAAGGGGAUAUAAUUUCAGCAAAACCCUGCCAGCUUCACUUGGUGACUACAACCAAAGAUUAUGUGUCAAGUGCACGAGGGUCCCUCUCUGACAGGUCUGAUUAGUGGUGACCCCCCCAUCAGAGUAGAGACAGAGCUCACGGUUUAAAAGUUUCAUCGGGGCCAGGCGUGAUGGCUCACACCCGUAAUCCCAACACUUCAAGAGGCAGAGGCAGAAGCAUCACUCAAGCCUAAGAGUUCAAGGCCAGCCUGGGUAACAUGGCAAGACCCAUCUCUACAAAAAAUUUAAAAAUAAAAAAUUUAAAGCUAC